UAUAUCAGGGCAGUUAGAUACUUCACUUUUAAUUCUUUUAGAUUAAAACAUUAUUAGAUUUAGUAAAGGAGAUUAAAAAUUAUUGUAUAAUUCUUAAAUUCUAAGUACUGUAGAGGAAUGGCCCUAAUUAAAAGAAAGAAAAGAUUAAAUUUUGUACCUUUUGCAUCAUGGUUUAACUAGAUUUUAAUUGAAUAUAUUCAAYUUCUCGAAAUUUAAUGAGCUAUUUUUGACCUAUAUAUUAGUAAUUAAAGAGUAAUUGUGGCAAAAAUUUUCUUAGAGUUAAAAAUAGAAAUGAAAUUUUAUUCGCAUUAAAUGAUAGCUAGUUCUUCCGUAAAGGCAUAGAAGUGCUUUAGAUUAGUUGAUUUUUGAUUAUUAAAGUAACCAUAAAAUGAUUAAUCUAAUUAGACUUUUGAGGAUAAGCUCGAAAGUCUUAUUUAAACUAUUGUAUAUAUUUAUAGCUAGAAUUUAAGCUUGAAAAUAGCUAAAAUUUAGAUUUUGUUAUAAUUUCACUAGUAUAAAAUAAAAUAUAAUUGAUUUACUAUAAGCAGAACGAAGAAAUCUCUAAAACUAACUGAUGAGUUAUAUUUAUGUUAAAAUGAGUAUUAUUUAAAUUUUAUUUACUCAAAAAUUAAAUUUUUAGAACUUAUAUUUCUUUAUUUAGUUUAAAAUUAUAAAAAGGAACUCGGCAAAUAAACAUAUUCUGCCUGUUUAUUAAAAAACAUGGCUCCUUGUAGUAAAUAAAUAAGGAGUCGGACCUGCCCAGUGAAAGUUUUUUAACGGCCGCGGUACUCUGACCGUGCAAAGGUAGCAUAAUCAUUUGCCUUAUAAUUGAAGGCUGGUAUGAAUGGUUUGACAAGAAUAUAGCUGUCUCUUUAUAAUUUAAUAGAAUUUUAUUUUAAGGUGAAGAAGCCUUAAUCAAAUUAAAAGACAAGAAGACCCUAUCGAGCUUGAAAGAAUUUAAUGGAAUAUAUAGCAUUAAUAAUGAGUUAAAAAAUUAUUAUUAAAAAUUUUGGUUGGGGCGACUGAGGAACAAAAAUAGCUUCCUUUAAAACGUAAUAACAUACAUGUAUUGAUCCAGAAUUUUUGAUUAAAGAAAUUAGUUACCGUAGGGAUAACAGCAUUAUCCUCUUUGAGAGUUCUUAUCGAAAAGGGGGUUUGUGACCUCGAUGUUGGACCAGAAUAUCCUAAAGAUGCAGAAGUCUUUAAGGGUUGGUCUGUUCGACCAUUAAAAUUCUACGUGAUCUGA
rnacentral:rRNA from 1 species